rnacentral:rRNA from 1 species
UGGGGAAUAUUGCACAAUGGGCGGAAGCCUGAUGCAGCGACGCCGCGUGAGGGAUGACGGCAUUCGGGUUGUAAACCUCUUUCAGUAGGGACGAAGCGUAAGUGACGGUACCUGCAGAAGAAGCACCGGCUAACUACGUGCCAGCAGCCGCGGUAAUACGUAGGGUGCGAGCGUUGUCCGGAAUUACUGGGCGUAAAGAGCUCGUAGGCGGUUUGUCACGUCGUCUGUGAAAUCCUAGGGCUUAACCCUGGACGUGCAGGCGAUACGGGCUGACUUGAGUACUACAGGGGAGACUGGAAUUUCUGGUGUAGCGGUGGAAUGCACAGAUAUCAGGAAGAACACCGAUGGCGAAGGCAGGUCUCUGGGUAGUAACUGACGCUGAGGAGCGAAAGCAUGGGUAGCGAACAGG